UCUAUAACUAGCUUGUGGUAUCUCUCUCUCUCUCUCUCUCUCUCUCUCUCUCUCUCUCUCUCUCUCUCUCUCUCUCUCUCUCUCUCUCGCUUUCCUAAGAGUGUAGGGAAGCUGUGAAAGGAAAGGGCUUUCAGAUGAAUGCUCAAGGACACUAAGAACUUAAGGCAGACAAGCGUCUGCAGAGGAAACACAAGACGGCGACAAGACAUCAAUCCAGAAUCAACAGGAGAAGAUUUCGAAAGGAAGUUUUGUCAAGACCCUGCUAGUCUCCGAAACCGAUUUGGAAAUGAUUACAACAGAGAGGAUGCAAAAGCGACUCAGGCUGGAAUUGGAACUUGGCGGUUAAGUAUCCUGGAGUGCUGAUCCAGGCACAAUCGAAUCCCAAAGUUGGUGAAGGAGCCAAAAGACUAAGUGUGUUGAUGAAAGGACAGAGUGAACCACAGCCUGGGGGUUGUUGGUAAGUGUAUGGUUUUGCUCUGGCUACGUGAUUUAGGGAGGUAACAUUUCCAAACCUAUAGACCUGUUCACAGGCCAAAUGAGUUCCAUGAAACUAUGAGGGGGGUAGG
ensembl:lncRNA